AAUACCUCCUAGCGGCGAACGGUCGCGUAACACGUAAGCAACCUGCCGAGAAGACCGGGACAACAUCCCGAAAGGGGUGCUAAUACCGGAUGUGGCCACUUCCUCGCAUGGGGAGGUGAUUAAACCGAGCAAUCGGCUUCUUGAGGGGCUUGCGGCCUAUCAGCUAGAUGGUGGGGUGACGGCCUACCAUGGCGACGACGGGUAGCUGGUCUGAGAGGACGGCCAGCCGGACUGGGACUGAGAGACGGCCCAGACUCCUACGGGGGGCAGCAAUUAGGAAUCUUGCGCAAUGGGCGAAAGCCUGACGCAGCGACGCCGCGUGGGGG
rnacentral:rRNA from 1 species